GACGAACGCUGGCGGCGUGCUUAACACAUGCAAGUCGAACGAUGAAGCUAGAGCUUGCUCUGGUGAAUUAGUGGCGAACGGGUGAGUAACACGUGAGUAACCUGCCCUUGACUCUGGGAUAACUGCGGGAAACUGUAGCUAAUACCGGAUACGACCCUCGGAGGCAUCUCCUGGGGGUGGAAAGAAUUUCGGUCAAGGAUGGACUCGCGGCCUAGCAGCUAGUUGGUGAGGUAAAGGCUCACCAAGGCGACGACGGGUAUACGGCCUGAGAGGGUGACCGGCCACACUGGGACUGAGACACGGCCCAGACCCCUACGGGAGGCAGCAGUGGGGAAUAUUGCACAAUGGGCGCAAGCCUGAUGCAGCAACGCCGCGUGAGGGAUGACGGCCUUCGGGUUGUAAACCUCUUUUAGCAGGGAAGAAGCGAAAGUGACGGUACCUGCAGAAAAAGCACCGGCUAACUACGUGCCAGCCGCCGCGGUAA
rnacentral:rRNA from 1 species